rnacentral:rRNA from 2 species
UAAGUGGUGGAAAUUAAACCAACUGGGAUCUCUUCAGUAAUUGCGCAUGAACCAGGAUAUGCUUAGCUUGACAAAUGGAGCUGCUGGCUCUGAAUUGUAUUGUGGGAAUGUAUUACCAACAGAGGUGCAGGUCACACUCCUUGGCAUUGGAAUGCAAAGUGGGUGGUAAGUUUCAUGCAAAGGUAAAUAUGCAAUUGAGACUGAUAGCGCACAAGUACCAUGAGGGACAUAUGAAAAGGACUUUGAAAAGAGAAUUAAAUGAGUUUGUAUUUGCUAAACACAAAGUAAACAGACUUGAUUUCCUCAGUGAGAUUGUAGUGCUUGCUUAACAAUGGGUUUUGGCUGCAAGUGCAAUAAUUCUUGCUUUGUGUGCCCGUUUUUAUGUGGACAUUUGAUUACCUUUGCACAUGAAUGGUAAUUUUCCUGCGGGGUGUGGAUUGCAUAUGCAUGUAAUGAUUUGCAUGUUUGUUAAAUGUGUCUGGUGUAUUUGUUUGUGUCCUUGUCCUUGAGGUUGCUUUCUCCCUUGGGCUUACAUGCCCUGGCACACACAUUCUGGCAAAAUGCUUCUGCUUGACCCG